rnacentral:rRNA from 1 species
UCGAGCGGACAGAUGGGAGCUUGCUCCCUGAUGUUAGCGGCGGACGGGUGAGUAACACGUGGGUAACCUGCCUGUAAGACUGGGAUAACUCCGGGAAACCGGGGCUAAUACCGGAUGGUUGUUUGAACCGCAUGGUUCAGACAUAAAAGGUGGCUUCGGCUACCACUUACAGAUGGACCCGCGGCGCAUUAGCUAGUUGGUGAGGUAACGGCUCACCAAGGCGACGAUGCGUAGCCGACCUGAGAGGGUGAUCGGCCACACUGGGACUGAGACACGGCCCAGACUCCUACGGGAGGCAGCAGUAGGGAAUCUUCCGCAAUGGACGAAAGUCUGACGGAGCAACGCCGCGUGAGUGAUGAAGGUUUUCGGAUCGUAAAGCUCUGUUGUUAGGGAAGAACAAGUGCCGUUCAAAUAGGGCGGCACCUUGACGGUACCUAACCAGAAAGCCACGGCUAACUACGUGCCAGCAGCCGCGGUAAUACGUAGGUGGCAAGCGUUGUCCGGAAUUAUUGGGCGUAAAGGGCUCGCAGGCGGUUUCUUAAGUCUGAUGUGAAAGCCCCCGGCUCAACCGGGGAGGGUCAUUGGAAACUGGGGAACUUGAGUGCAGAAGAGGAGAGUGGAAUUCCACGUGUAGCGGUGAAAUGCGUAGAGAUGUGGAGGAACACCAGUGGCGAAGGCGACUCUCUGGUCUGUAACUGACGCUGAGGAGCGAAAGCGUGGGGAGCGAACAGGAUUAGAUACCCUGGUAGUCCACGCCGUAAACGAUGAGUGCUAAGUGUUAGGGGGUUUCCGCCCCUUAGUGCUGCAGCUAACGCAUUAAGCACUCCGCCUGGGGAGUACGGUCGCAAGACUGAAACUCAAAGGAAUUGACGGGGGCCCGCACAAGCGGUGGAGCAUGUGGUUUAAUUUGAAGCAACGCGAAGAACCUUACCAGGUCUUGACAUCCUCUGACAAUCCUAGAGAUAGGACGUCCCCUUCGGGGGCAGAGUGACAGGUGGUGCAUGGUUGUCGUCAGCUCGUGUCGUGAGAUGUUGGGUUAAGUCCCGCAACGAGCGCAACCCUUGAUUUUAGUUGCCAGCAUUCAGUUGGGCACUCUAAGGUGACUGCCGGUGACAAACCGGAGGAAGGUGGGGAUGACGUCAAAUCAUCAUGCCCCUUAUGACCUGGGCUACACACGUGCUACAAUGGACAGAACAAAGGGCAGCGAAACCGCGAGGUUAAGCCAAUCCCACAAAUCUGUUCUCAGUUCGGAUCGCAGUCUGCAACUCGACUGCGUGAAGCUGGAAUCGCUAGUAAUCGCGGAUCAGCAUGCCGCGGUGAAUACGUUCCCGG